rnacentral:misc_RNA from 1 species
CCGAGUUUACAACUCCCAAACCCCUGUGAACAUACCUAUAUGUUGCCUCGGCGGAUCAGCCCCGCGCCCCGUAAAACGGGACGGCCCGCCGCAGGAUCCACAAACUCUGUUUUUAUUGUAACUUCUGAGUAACAAAACAAAUAAAUCA